GACGAACGCUGGCGGCGUGCUUAACACAUGCAAGUCGAACGGAAAGGCCCUGCUUUUGUGGGGUGCUCGAGUGGCGAACGGGUGAGUAACACGUGAGUAACCUGCCCUUGACUUUGGGAUAACUUCAGGAAACUGGGGCUAAUACCGGAUAGGAGCUCCUGCUGCAUGGUGGGGGUUGGAAAGUUUCGGCGGUUGGGGAUGGACUCGCGGCUUAUCAGCUUGUUGGUGGGGUAGUGGCUUACCAAGGCUUUGACGGGUAGCCGGCCUGAGAGGGUGACCGGCCACAUUGGGACUGAGAUACGGCCCAGACUCCUACGGGAGGCAGCAGUGGGGAAUAUUGCACAAUGGGCGGAAGCCUGAUGCAGCAACGCCGCGUGCGGGAUGAAGGCCUUCGGGUUGUAAACCGCUUUCGCCUGUGACGAAGCGUGAGUGACGGUAAUGGGUAAAGAAGCAACGGCUAACUACGUG
rnacentral:rRNA from 1 species